UGUUACUUAGGUCCUUUUGAAAAGUUAAGCGAGAUUUCUAAUAUUUUUUCAACCGCUCCUCUACACUGGCGGAAAUAAAAUAUGAAAAUCCAUAAGUUAUGCCUUAUGAAACACCAGAAGUUCAUUUCAUGAUCGCUUCAUAAGGCUUCUAUGAAAAUCAUAAUCAUUAGUAUUAACAACAUAGAUAUGCCUUAUGAAUUCCAAUGUCUAUCCUUAUGAAUAAAAAUCAUAAGGUAGACUUAUGGAGCAAUAUGUGAUUUCAUGAGUUCAUCCACAGAAAAAUAUUACUGUCAUUUGUCAUUACGUGUUUGUAUCCUGACCGACCAUUUUUAAAAAAAAAUCGCUGAAUAAUAAUAAUAAAUGGUAUUCCAUACUGUUUUGGACUACUUCCUGAUAUCGGAUACAGGUAAGAAUCAAAUCAAGAAAUGCCGGGAUAGAAUCCGGAUACGCUUCACUGAUUGUUUUAAGUUCAAAUAGUUGAGGUUCUUUCAGAAAAUCCAACGUAUGCGGCAACUGUUAGAAGUUGCUGUCGCAUGAAAUGAUUCCGUCAUCGAUCACUGCACGAUGUCAGCUUACCCGAUCACAAGUCAGCCCACCCACAUCAGCUUACUGGCCACCAACUUGAACUGCUCAAUGAAUGAGUAACAUAUGUUUGAAACGGUCGUGUGUAGGUACUCUGAAUUCUGAGUUCUCGAAAAAUUAGAAGUGGGAUGCUGGAAUGCUCGGUGGAAGCAGCUCUGGAACAAGCGUAUACGCUCUAUAGUGUUGAUCUGCUGCUGGGUGUUUCUAAGGCAGACGAAAAAAGCGAGGACGAACGCAAAGAUUCUUUUUGGAACAAGUCAUUGAUCCUGAAAUUGUAAAAGUUCGGCGCCGAUUAUGCACACUUCUGCUAUAGAUACAAUGUUUCAUUUCGAAGAAGUUGGAACCACCCAUCGCAUUCUUUACCUUCGUAAUGUAAGCAAGCGCAUCAUGAGGGUAUGAUUUCCUGGAUAGUAUGGUGGACAUUAUAGCUACAGUCCUGGCUACAGUGCUUCAUUGUAAUCAACUCAAAAGUCUACAUCUCGUUCGAACAACCACUGGGAUCCUGAAUGAAUCGAACUACAUACCAGUUGACACGGAAGCAAGCCAUUGCAAAGCUAUCUCAAUCAGGCUGUUCAUCGGGUCCCGGAUGAUUCGAUUAGGGAGGUCCAAACAGCGGAGUGGGCUGUGAGACUGCAAGGUGUUUUGAGUGGUGGUGCAGCAAGCCAGAACUCAUCUGCCCAGCCUUCAACCCAGCAGGUGCGUAAUGGUGGUUCAGCGGAUCCAAGUGGCUGUCCAAGCGGGAUCAAUCUGUUGCUGAAUAACAUAAAGGAUUUUAGCGCUUGCAAUGAUCAAAUGUCGAUGAUUCCGGAAAUGGAAUUAGGUACACCACCAUGGCCCUGGAGGUUUGCGGUAUCGGUACCGGUUUUGGUAGUCAACAAUCUCGUCUGAACUAGUGGAAGUUGCCCAUCAUCGACAUGAAUUUGUGAUACGAUGUUACUGAUUUUUCACCUGCAUCUGGAACGACGGCAAUAUCGACACCUUUCCCUACUGGAUCAAACAUAAGCGGUUUACGUGGUUUACAAUGUGGUAAGCUCGGUGGUAACCGAGCUUAUAGCACCUGGUCCACCUGUCGUGGAGGAAUUGGAGGUGGGUGACCAGAUUCCUCGGCUGAUACUGCCAGUAAACACCUGGUUCAUCUGUCGUGGAGGAAUUGGAGGUGGAUGACCAGAUUCCUCGGCCGAUACUAUACCAUUAAAUAUUGACCCGCUAUUCAACAUUCUUCCACGGAACGAAUCCCGAGUUUAAACUUCGAAUAUUGAGAAAGUUUCAAAUCAAUAAUCCGUUGUUUUUCUCUGGGAACUAAAAUGUAUUUGCAUUUUGAAUUUUAGGUAAUUUUGAAUGAAAAUGAUAAUAAAAUUAAGGAUGUAUAGAAACUAUA